GUGAAGCACGUGCCAGGUGCCUGGGUAAUACGUAGGGGGCAAGGUUUGGCCGGUUUUUUUUGGCUUAAAGCGGGCGCAGGCGGUUCCUUAAGUCUGAUGUGAAAGCCCACGGCUCAACCGGGGAAGGUCAUUGGAAACUGGGGAACUUGAGUGCAGAAGAGGAGAGUGGAAUUCCAUGUGUAGCGGUGAAAUGCGUAGAUAUAUGGAGGAACACCAGUGGCGAAGGCGACUCUCUGGUCUGUAACUGACGCUGAGGCUCGAAAGCGUGGGGAGCAAACAGGAUUAGAUACCCUAGUAGUC
rnacentral:rRNA from 1 species